rnacentral:tRNA from 1 species
GCACAAGUAGCUCAGCGGUUAGAGUUUCGCCUUGCCAAGGCGAGUGUCGCGGGUUCGAAUCCCGUCUUGUGCUCCA